AUCACAAGUAGAGGAACAAUCACAGAAUGAGAAACAGAUCAUUACUGGUACAUUUAGAUCUGAUAUUGCUCAUAGAGUAAUGACAGAAAAUACUUCAAUGAUAAAGGAAAGACUUGAUCUAAAUACAUUAGUAAAUAAGCUACUUGAGAAGAGGAUAAUAAAUGAAAGACAA